GUCAAUUGCUCACUUUAUUUCAUCAGACUAAAAACCUUUCUAAAAAAAACAGAGGAAAUCGAAAUUGUCUUAGACUCCUAGAACCAAGGCUGAACAUUUCAUGGUGUUCAUCCUUACCAACUCAAAAAAAAAACGCUGACUUCCCUCUCUCUAUAUAACGCCAAUUGCUCACUUUCUUUCUUCUAACAUCAGACUAAAACCUUUCUAAAAAAACAGAGGAAACCGAAAUUGUCUUAGACUCAUAGAACCAAGGAUGAACAUUUCAUGGUGUUCAUCCUCACCAACUCAAAAAAUGAAAGCUGACUUCCCUCUCUCUCAGCUAGCACUGGUUCUCGGCUUCAACAAAGAGGGAAAAAUCAAACCAAAACAAAAAGCACGAGCAAACUCGAAACAAAAAGAAGAAAGUUCUAAUAUCGAAUUUCAUGGGUCGCAGCAAGAUUAUUUUAAGAUCUAUAAUAAUCUAGUACAAAUAGUCAUGCAUAAAUACACAAUCAUCAAAUCAAACAUGUAAGAGGCUAACACAUGGAGUUUCGAUGCCUUGAAAAGGUUGGAGAAAGGGACGAAAGGUUCCGUCGGAGCUUCGCGACUCCGCCGAGACGCCGACAAUGAUUCUUUACCUCGAGGUAUUAGCUCGGAUUACUCAAAGUUCUGAUGAUAAACUCUGAGCACCCCUUUGGUGUUUUGAGCUUUUGGGUACAGGUUGAGGUGGGAAUUUGGCAGCGUAAUGAUAUCCCUCUUUCUAUUGCUUCAGGUUCCUUUUUAAAGAGCCCUUAUACGAGGUUUCUUCGUCCUUAUUCUUUAUGAGCUGGCGAGUGGAUCAAGGAUCAAUCCGUUAUUGAAAAUCUUUCACAGAUUUUGGUGUGGUCCCACCAAACGGAAGUGGUAGGAUGAAAUUUUGUUUUGUGGUACCUCCCAAAAAAUGUGUGACUAAUCAUUCAGAUCUUUUCCAUAGAAUAUUUAUAGCGGUAAGAUUUGUACUUGUUGUGGUAAGGGAUUUUUUACUGUUAUGUAGAUUCAGCUUUAAACGAUGUAUGGCCCUUAACUAUUCCUUAUUUCAAAAGGACUCCCUAAAUGCCACUCCCGCUUUGAUUUAGAUUGGGGUAUUUACUUUCGCGGUUUUGAUGCUUACGUGAUAUUGCUUGAUAAUUUAAGUCUCGUGACCUCCUUUUCUUCUGCACUUUCAGGUUGUACUACGACUUCGGACCCAUGAUGGUGGUUAAAUGGUCGAGUGGAGAUUGAGGCCAUUUGCAAGUUUGCAGCCCGUGUGCACCUGGUCUUUGGUAUGCUGUCUAGGACAUGAGGUUAUGUUCUUAUUACCCUUGUACUUAUUGAUUUUGUUGUUGGGUCAUUGUUGAAUUGCAUAUUGUUUCUAUUUCCACUUUGUUCUCGCAUUUCAUUGUCCAUAAUAUUUCAGUGUAGGGAAUGUUGUUGUUAGUUAUGAUGUGUUGUAGGUUACCGUUGCAGUCUUGCUGCUGCGUCCUGCAUUGGAGCUUGGUUCUCAUCGCCUUGACUCCAUUUAUAAACCCUGCCCUCCAUUGUCGAAUGACACUUGAUUUCUGCAUUGCAGCUUGGUUUUGUUGCCUCCUAACAGCUAGGUUAGAUAACAACUUGAGGUUGUUUUCAGGGCAUUUGAAUUAUUGACCAAUAUGCUUACUACUUGUCAUAGCAUUCUCUAGUGGACAACAAAAUGGUAGCUCUCUUCAAUCCAUGGUCCUGCAGGCGUGAUUCUACCAGAAAACCUUUGCGGCUUACUAAAGAAUUGUGAUUACAGUUGGAGCAUAUGUCCAAAAAGGUGUUGGCGGUACCGACCAUUGUGGACUCUGUAAUGGUUGCCGCUGUUGGAUUUUGAUAGCCUGAUGGAAUAGAACGUUAACCGCAACCAAAAACCUCUCCUCAGCAUCAAAGGUGCUGGCAACGAUAACCAUAAGAUCCAAUGCUGUGGAAUGCCUUAACGCGUUGUAAGUAUUGUUGUCUGCACUGGUGGACCUUCCGUGUUUCUGCCCAUGUGAGUUUCUAUGAGAUCCCACUCUGCUAGCACCGGAACUCCUUGGUUGUUUUUCAAUGAGCUAUUGCCCUUCUUUUCUUUUCCUGUUCAUUGGAAGCUUCAAUAUUCUUCCAGUAAUUAUGUGCACUGACAUGAGGAUACCAGGUUAUAACUUUCAGAAGAACGAGCUACACUGCGGAACUUCUGCCUUCUAAUGGGAGAGCAAAAGCUAUGAAGUCCAUGACAACAUUCUCUUAUGCGGAUUGCAAUUCACAUCACUUGUUAAAUACAACAAGUCCUUUUUGUCAAAUGAAAAAUGGAAAAUUUGAAUGUCUUGUAACAGUUAUGCUUUGUAUGCAAGUGCGAAUUACUGAAACGGAGUCAAUGGAACUUAGGAUGUAGCUUUGGAUUUGUUUUCGUUAUGAUCUGCGUUUUCCUCACGACUUGGCUUUGUUGCAGCUUACGGCUUGUAUCUAUAUGUUUGGCUUAUGCAGCCUGUAGUCGUUUUUUGGUUUAUGUUGUUGGCGUUAUAACGUCAUUUUUCCCUUUACCGUACUUGGUUCAUUUCACGUUUGAUGUUAUUUCUCUGCCAUGUACUGCCGCGUUCCAGUUUCUCAA